UGUAAAGCACUUUUGCAGGAAAGAAUCGGCGCAGGUUAAUACCUUGACAACUGACGGUACUUGCAGAAUAAGCACCGCGUAAUUACGUGCCAGCAGCCGCGGUAAUACGUAGGGUGCAAGCGUUAAUCGGAAUUACUGGGCGUAAAGCGUGCGCAGUCGGUUCGUAAAGAAAGAUGUGAAAUCCCAGAGCUUAACUUUGGAACUGCAUUUUUAACUACCGGCCUAGAGUGUGUCAGAGGGAGGUGGAAUUCCGCGUGUAGCAGUGAAAUGCGUAGAUAUUCGGAGGAACACCGAUGGCGAAGGCAGCCUCCUGGGAUAACACUGACGCUCAUGCGCGAAAGCGUGGGGAGCAAACAGGAUUAGAUACCCUGGUAGUCCACGCCCUAAACGAUGACAACUACCUGUUGGGGCCUUCGGGCCUUGGUAGUGCAGCUAACGCCUGAAGUUAUCCCCCUGGGGAGUUCGGUCGCAAGAUUAAAACUCAAAGGAAUUGACGGGGACCCGCACAAACGGUGGAUGAUGUGGAUUAAUUCGAUGCAACGCGAAAAACCUUACCUACCCUUGACAUGUAUGAAUCCCGAAGAGAUUUGGAGUCUCAC
rnacentral:rRNA from 1 species